rnacentral:misc_RNA from 1 species
UACGUAGGGGGCAAGCGUUGUCCGGAAUUAUUGGGCGUAAAGCGCGCGCAGGCGGUCUUUUAAGUCUGAUGUGUAGGCACACGGCUCAACCGUGGAGGGUCAUUGGAAACUGGGAGACUUGAGUGUAGGAGAGGAAAGUGGAAUUCCACGUGUAGCGGUGAAAGGCGUAGAGAUGUGGAGGAACACCAGUGGCGAAGGCGACUUUCUGGCCUAUAACUGACGCUGAGGCGCGAAAGCGUGGGGAGCAAACAGG